GUUAACUAGCCAACGUUACAUUGGCUACACAGUAAGUAUAGCUGUUUUUCUAUAUUAAACUACGUACGAUAUGUUGUAACACGGAACAAAAUAAAGUUUUCGACAGAAGGGGUCAGUUCGUUCAGCUUUUCUCAGAUACUAUUUGUCCAUUCCCAUGUCUUGCUUGAAAGCUUGAAGCUAACAAUUACUUGUAUGCCCAUUCUUUUUCGUUGCAGCCCUGUUUGAACGUAGUUACGCUAACUCCGUAUUUACAAUGUACAAUACUCAGUGAGUCAACUCAAAUCCAGCUAACUGGAAUUUGUCUUUCGGCAUAAGAAUAUCCUGCCUUUUCUUCACCAGUGAAUCAGGCAGCACUUCAGGUCAUCGCUGAUGAAAGGCCUGCGAAAUGACAAGGAGGAGAUACUUGAGGACGAAGAGUAUACGAUUGAGACACACACACAUACACAGGACAGGCAGGUGAACAUCGACUGGCAGAGAAGCAGCUGAACUGGUUCCCUCCUAGCCCUUCUAGUUUGAUGCUGACAGAGGUGGCUGCUGCACAUGCUAAACUGGUGGUGCAGGUCGUAAAAAUGCUCUAGCCUGGUCCCAGAUCCCUCAAGCCUGGUCUUGCUAACUCCUAAUGUAUGAUAGUUGUCAUGCCAUGUUUCCAUAGGAGUUGGCUAUAUAGUACAAACAGAUCAUAGACCAAACUAACAUUUGGCUGAUUUUCAGAACCGAAAGUGAAACUUCAGUGUACUUGAGGACUACUCUAGAAAUUGUUGGCUUUGUUGCAAGAUAGAAAGGAGAAUAAGACGUGGUUUGCUUGUGUGUCACCUGAAUGUGAGGGCAAGCGGUUAUGUAUGAUAUGGUUAUGAUAGUAAUGUAGGCCCUAACAUGCACUUUGUUUUCAGGUUUGAAUGAGACAAUAUAUUCCCCUAAUCUUA